AAGAGAAGGAGAAGAACUGGUCGCUUGAGGACCUGGACUUCCUGAUAUGAAACAAUACAGUAUGCCAGAGAUAAAUUACAGCUGGGAGCUAGACCACAUGAUACAGAAGUAGCUGCACAUUGAUGUUGAAUGAAGCAGGAAAGCAGAAUACUUAAACUUCUGCCAAACUCCCAAGAAGCUGACCUUCCAAUUUGCAGUGUCAUUGCUCAGGUUGUUUCCUGCCCAUCAAAUGCCAGUGGCCUAGAUUGACCAUUGCCACCGUGCCUGGAGAGGCCAAGAAGUACACCAUGGAGAUGACAAUGACUAUGGCAAUCCAGCAGUCUGCUCUUACUGGGUGAUUGUAAGAGGGUAAAGCAGAUGUGCUGAACUUUGUGAUGAUUUUAUAUUCCAGUAAACACCCAGUAAGACAACAUGGGUGGUGGCAGGGCCCAUAUGGGUAUUGGAGAAGUAGUGGACAAAGUCAGAUCCAGCCCAGCCAAUGAGGGCAGGGCCUUACUGGUGUUGGGCUCACCAGUGUUGAAUAGAAGAUGCCCAGAGUGAGAGAGACAACUUCCAAGACUAGAACUGUGUAUGGAGCCCAAACCAGGAGAGUCGGGGGAAAGAGGGCAGCUGGACAUCAUCUUCGUGGAUGGAAUCUUGCCAGUGAAUGCUACAGUAGCUCUACUGAACAAUCUGGUAAGCAAACAGAUAAGGCAAUUCCAUGGAGCUUGGAAGGGAAUAGAUUAAAACUAAUAAACACACAAAAUAACCACAAAUUGUUAAAAGAGCUAUGAAUGAAAUAAACCAGUGCUAACAAAGAACUGGGAA